GAUGAACGCUGGCGGCGUGCUUAACACAUGCAAGUCGAACGAUGAAGCCCAGCUUGCUGGGUGGAUUAGUGGCGAACGGGUGAGUAACACGUGAGUAACCUGCCCUUGACUCUGGGAUAAGCCUGGGAAACUGGGUCUAAUACUGGAUAUGACUUCUCAUCGCAUGGUGGGGGGUGGAAAGAUUUAUUGGUCUUGGAUGGACUCGCGGCCUAUCAGCUUGUUGGUGAGGUAAUGGCUCACCAAGGCGACGACGGGUAGCCGGCCUGAGAGGGUGACCAGCCACACUGGGACUGAGACACGGCCCAGACUCCUACGGGAGGCAGCAGUGGGGAAUAUUGCACAAUGGGCGCAAGCCUGAUGCAGCGACGCCGCGUGAGGGAUGACGGCCUUCGGGUUGUAAACCUCUUUCAGUAGGGAAGAAGCGAGAGUGACGGUACCUGCAGAAGAAGCGCCGGCUAACUACGUG
rnacentral:rRNA from 1 species